UGUCCAGGGGCGGGAAUCGAACCCACAACCUUCUGCUUACCGGGCAGGUGCCAUGUCCACUAGGCACCCUGUU